AACUGGGGCUGGCGCUGAAUCAUGUACAUACAUCAGCAAACAUUUAUUGAGCACCACUGUGUUCCGUGCCUGCUACCAGGUCCUGGAGAUACAGCAGUGGACAAAACAGAAAGACAUUUAAAAGCCCUCUGUUCUCGUGGAGCCUGUAUUCUAGCUGAGGAGAAUCAGACAUUUGAGGUCAUUUCAGUAAGUGAGCAGGGCUCCAAAGGAAAUAAAGCAGAAGGUGCGAUGGAGAGAGCCUGGGAGGUCCCCUCUGAUGGGGUGACAUUUGAACAGAAGCCCCAACAAAGAGGAGAAGCCCACGUGCAAAGGCAGGGGGUGGGAAACGGUG
rnacentral:lncRNA from 10 species